UUCAUCUUCGACAAACAGAAACUCGAAAGACCCUGCAAUAGACCAGAUAGACUCGAUAAGCUCUGUCUCUUAUCUCGUGGAGAUAUCUCUAGCGUGAUUAUCAAUCUAGGACAGAGAUCGAAUCGGGGAUGGAAACCAGCCAUUUCAGUCCGAUCUUGUUGAACUCGUUCUGGUCUUGCUUAUCGAAGAUUCGAAGCCUCAGCUUUGUUGGGAUUGCAUCUCUUUGGAACCCGGAAUUGGUCUUGAACGUUCCUCCACCUCCAAGUUUAAUGUGGCUACUUGGGAGGUGAUUUACUGCCAUGUAUAUUAUUCUAAACACCAGAGUCCAGACACCCUGCAAGUCGUCACCCCAUGAGAGGCGGUCAUGCUUGAAGCUUCAACAUAUCUUCUGGGAUUGCUCUGGUUUCUUCCAUCCUUUGUGGCAACUGGACUUCUUCAUUCACGGUGGGUUGUGAGCUUCAACAUUCGUUGUCUUCACUACUCAAGCAACCCUGCAGCCACCUUGUGUAGGCACGAACUUUGACAACAAACGCCCCAUUUCAUCGCUGGGAUUUGGUGGACAAGAUGAGUCCAAAUUUCUCAUAGAGAAGUGAAGAAACCUCCGCUUCACAACUUGGUCUCGAAUUUCUGGUUUCUUUCCUCCUUGCCUGCAAGUUGCUGGAAGUAUUCCGAGAGACCAUCGAGGUGGUGCAAGGCCAUUUGUUGUGUUGCGGUGGAAGGGAAGGCAGGAGGUACUUGGAACCAGUGAGAGUCUUUGUGAAAGAAAAGAGACAUUGGAGCCUUGUUUUCACAUGGUUCGGAGGUUUGCUGACACUUUGGAGUGCCAUCACAAGGUUCUGAACACAACCUUGAUGGAGGUGUAUUGGAUUCGCUGCUGCAACGUAUUCCACCGGAUUGGUCAUACUCUCAUUGAUACAUAAAGCGUACCGUACACGAGAUUGCGACCGCUCCGGGGACCUCCACAGCUCCAUGGCUCCAUGGUGACACGAAUAAAAGAGAUUCCUGCAUGAAAAACAAAGGAAGUAGCACUGGUAGAUCAGAGAGAUCUCAACCUUUGUAUCUGCUUGUUGGCCCCUCGAAGCACGAUCAAAAUCUCUGAACACUUCUCUUCGUUAUGCAGCUGGGCUUCGCCGCUUCGCCUCUCUCUUGAUGUACUUCCUGUGUCUUCUCUCUAGCCUUUUCUGCUUCUCCCUCGAACAAAGUCGCUGAGCACUUCUUCUUUCCUUUGCAGCAGGGCUUCGCCUCUCUUGAUGUAUUUCUUGCUCCUUCUCUCCAGCCUUUUGCGUCUGCUUGCCUCCUCUCUGCUACCUUUUCUGCUUCUGCUCUCCUCUUUCUUAUGCAGCCUUAUGUUCCUUAUAUAGGGGGCAGUGAAGAUUCUAGAGGGCUGGAUAAACAUUUGCUUGAAAUUUGAAUCUCCCGAAGCUCACGAAGAUAAGUUGUUGAUCGGAGACUUCGUCUUUGACUUUGAGACUGAACUUGGACGCCCUCUGCCACUUUAUCCUUAUCUCUCUUUGAGAUAUUUGAUUCAAAAUUUGAAUGCCGCCCUUUUGUUUCUGUUUUGCAGCUUUUCACGUUGAAACUAGGUCAACAUUCAACUUGUUUUGAAUUUGAGAAAGAGAUAAUUUGUAACUAAAGCAUCUGUUUAAUUGCUGCCAUUAUCCUCAUCUUUUGAAUAAUGUUGCGACAGCUACGCACUUUGUACAUUGUGUGCUUCUUUUAUUUUUAUUUUUUUAUUAUUCAACACAUUCACUGAUAUUGAGCAAAUUGUGCAGGUUGGAGAGGAGGAGGUCAGUUAUCGCUUAUAUUUUCUAUUUGUCAUUUCAACAUAGUCAUCACAUUGCACCUUUGGGCUUUUUGCCUUCUUGUAACCUCAUUUCUUUAUGACUCUUCUCUCACCAGCGUCUUCCUUAGGCAGCCAAAGAGCGAACAAUGACCAAAGCAGGCUUUUCACCUUUUGGUAACAUCUUUUCUUUGUGACUCCUCUCACCAGUGUCUUCCUUAGGCAGCCAAAGAGGCAACAAUGACCGAAGUUCAGUUAUCUAAUGUAAGAGUCAGAUGAUGCUUUUGAUACUGGAACUCAACAAUUAUGAUCAUUUCCAUAAAGCACCAUUUAUAUAUACUGGAAAUCCUGUGCUCCACAACACCAAUGACUGUGAUUCUGUCAUUGUACACACAUGUAAGCAAGUCCUGCAGUAUUUAAAAUGUUGUGCGAGAUUACUAA